UACAGAGGUCUCAAGCGUUGUUCGGAUUCAUUGGGCGUAAAGGGUGCGUAGGCGGGUCUUUAAGUCAGGGGUGAAAUCCUGGAGCUCAACUCCAGAACUGCCUUUGAUACUGAAGAUCUUGAGUCCGGGAGAGGUGAGUGGAACUGCGAGUGUAGAGGUGAAAUUCGUAGAUAUUCGCAAGAACACCAGUGGCGAAGGCGGCUCACUGGCCCGAUACUGACGCUGAGGCACGAAAGCGUGGGGAGCAAACAGGG
rnacentral:rRNA from 1 species